GAUGAACGCUGGCGGCGUGCUUAACACAUGCAAGUCGAACGGGAUCCAUCAGGCUUUGCUUGGUGGUGAGAGUGGCGAACGGGUGAGUAAUGCGUGACCGACCUGCCCCAUACACCGGAAUAGCUCCUGGAAACGGGUGGUAAUGCCGGAUGCUCCAGUUGAUCGCAUGGUCUUCUGGGAAAGCUUUCGCGGUAUGGGAUGGGGUCGCGUCCUAUCAGCUUGACGGCGGGGUAACGGCCCACCGUGGCUUCGACGGGUAGCCGGCCUGAGAGGGCGACCGGCCACAUUGGGACUGAGAUACGGCCCAGACUCCUACGGGAGGCAGCAGUGGGGAAUAUUGCACAAUGGGCGCAAGCCUGAUGCAGCGACGCCGCGUGAGGGAUGGAGGCCUUCGGGUUGUAAA
rnacentral:rRNA from 1 species